AACGCACCUUGCGCCCCUUGGCAUUCCGAGGGGCACGCCUGUUUGAGUGUCGUGAACUCCUCCACUUCACAUCUUUUUCGAAGGAUGUUGAAGCUGGGAUUUGGGAGCUUGCGGGUCCCUGGCCGAUCCGCUCUCCUUGAAUACAUUAGCGAAGCCCUUGCGGCCUUGGUGUGAUAGUCAUCUACGCCUCGGCUUAGCGAACUUAUGGGAGUCGCUUCCAAUCGUCUCGCAAGAGACAACUCACUACCAACUUGACCUCAAAUCAGGCGGGACUACCCGCUGAACUUAA
rnacentral:misc_RNA from 1 species